rnacentral:rRNA from 1 species
GACGAACGCUGGCGGCGUGUCUAAUACAUGCAAGUCGAACGAGAGCGACCGGUGCUUGCACUGGUCAAUCUAGUGGCGAACGGGUGAGUAACACGUGGGUAACCUGCCCAUCAGAGGGGGAUAACAUCCGGAAACGGAUGCUAAAACCGCAUAGGUCUUCGAGCCGCAUGGCUUGAAGAGGAAAAGAGGCGCAAGCUUCUGCUGAUGGAUGGACCCGCGGUGCAUUAGCUAGUUGGUGAGGUAACGGCUCACCAAGGCCGUGAUGCAUAGCCGACCUGAGAGGGUGAUCGGCCACAUUGGGACUGAGACACGGCCCAAACUCCUACGGGAGGCAGCAGUAGGGAAUCUUCCGCAAUGGACGCAAGUCUGACGGAGCAACGCCGCGUGAGUGAAGAAGGUUUUCGGAUCGUAAAACUCUGUUGUUAGAGAAGAACAAGUGCUAGAGUAACUGUUAGCGCCUUGACGGUAUCUAACCAGAAAGCCACGGCUAACUACGUG